rnacentral:rRNA from 1 species
AGAGUUUGAUCAUGGCUCAGAUUGAACGCUGGCGGCAGGCCUAACACAUGCAAGUCGAGCGGAAACGAGUUAUCUGAACCUUCGGGGAACGAUAAUGGCGUCGAGCGGCGGACGGGUGAGUAAUGCCUAGGAAAUUGCCCUGAUGUGGGGGAUAGCCAUUGGAAACGAUGGCUAAUACCGCAUAACGCCUACGGGCCAAAGAGGGGGACCUUCGGGCCUCUCGCGUCAGGAUAUGCCUAGGUGGGAUUAGCUAGUUGGUGAGGUAAUGGCUCACCAAGGCGACGAUCCCUAGCUGGUCUGAGAGGAUGAUCAGCCGCACUGGAACUGAGACACGGUCCAGAUUCUUACGGGAGGCAGCAGUGGGGAAUAUUGCACAAUGGGCGCAAGCCUGAUGCAGCCAUGCCGCGUGUUUGAAGAAGGCCNUUCGGGUUGUAAAGCACUUUCAGUCGUGAGGAAGGUAGUGUAGUUAAUAGCUGCAUUAUUUGACGUUAGCGACAGAAGAAGCACCGGCUAACUCCGUGCCAGCAGCCGCGGUAAUACGGAGGGUGCGAGCGUUAAUCGGAAUUACUGGGCGUAAAGCGCAUGCAGGUGGUUUGUUAAGUCAGAUGUGAAAGCCCGGGGCUCAACCUCGGAAUAGCAUUUGAAACUGGCAGACUAGAGUACUGUAGAGGGGGGUAGAAUUUCAGGUGUAGCGGUGAAAUGCGUAGAGAUCUGAAGGAAUACCGGUGGCGAAGGCGGCCCCCUGGACAGAUACUGACACUCAGAUGCGAAAGCGUGGGGAGCAAACAGGAUUAGAUACCCUGGUAGUCCACGCCGUAAACGAUGUCUACUUGGAGGUUGUGGCCUUGAGCCGUGGCUUUCGGAGCUAACGCGUUAAGUAGACCGCCUGGGGAGUACGGUCGCAAGAUUAAAACUCAAAUGAAUUGACGGGGGCCCGCACAAGCGGUGGAGCAUGUGGUUUAAUUCGAUGCAACGCGAAGAACCUUACCUACUCUUGACAUCCAGAGAACUUUCCAGAGAUGGAUUGGUGCCUUCGGGAACUCUGAGACAGGUGCUGCAUGGCUGUCGUCAGCUCGUGUUGUGAAAUGUUGGGUUAAGUCCCGCAACGAGCGCAACCCUUAUCCUUGUUUGCCAGCGAGUAAUGUCGGGAACUCCAGGGAGACUGCCGGUGAUAAACCGGAGGAAGGUGGGGACGACGUCAAGUCAUCAUGGCCCUUACGAGUAGGGCUACACACGUGCUACAAUGGCGCAUACAGAGGGCAGCAAGCUAGCGAUAGUGAGCGAAUCCCAAAAAGUGCGUCGUAGUCCGGGUUGGAGUCUGCAACUCGACUCCAUGAAGUCGGAAUCGCUAGUAAUCGUGGAUCAGAAUGCCACGGUGAAUACGUUCCCGGGCCUUGUACACACCGCCC